rnacentral:rRNA from 1 species
GACGAACGCUGGCGGCGUGCCUAAUACAUGCAAGUCGAACGAUUCUUUCCGCCCGAGGCCUCGCUCACAAUUGGGACGGGGAGGUGCGGAACGGGGAGUAACCCUUCCUAAAACAACGGAAUAACUGGGGGAAACAGGUGCUAACACGGGAUAAUACCUCGAAACAGUUGGUGCCAUAGGGCAUGAGAGUUUUAGGCUCACUUGGGUGUGGAUCCGGGACGCAUUAGCGGGUUGGUAAGGUAACGGCUUACCAAGGGCACGAUGCGUAGCCGACCUGAAAGGGUGAUCGGCCACACUGGAACUGAGACACGGCCCAGACUCCUACGGGAGGCAGCAGUAGGGAAUCUUCGGCAAUGGGCGAAAGUCUGACGGAGCAACGCCGCGUGAGUGAUGAAGGUUUUCGGAUCGUAAAACUCUGUUGUUAGGGAAGAACAAAUGCGUUAGUAACUGAGCGUGUCUUGACGGUACCUAAUCAGAAAGCCACGGCUAACUACGUG